UCCCUGGUAGCUCAGACGGUAAAGCAUCUGCCUGCAAUGCAGGAGACCUGGGUUCGAUCCCCGGGUUGGGAA
rnacentral:tRNA from 1 species